rnacentral:sRNA from 1 species
UAACGAUAUCGUUUGCAAAUCGGAGGUGU